CGCGGCGCUGCCGGCCGCCGCCCUGAUUGGUUGCUAAGUGAUUUGCAUCCAAGUUGCCAGAGACAUCUGAGGGCCUCGAACAAAAGGCCAGGAGGCUGAAAGGGAGCUGGCAUUCCUGUGGGCGGAGUUAGUGCCAUUUUAGAGAUGGAGAAGUGGAGGCCUUGGGCCGGAGCCACCUGCCAAGAAGAUACAGCCCUGACCCAUAGGGGCUCAGCUGCCAGGAGGGAGAGAGACCAGUUUCCUUUCUCCAGGGACAGUGGAGCAGCAGGCCUGGUGGCGAGGGACACGCAGGUACCCUGGCAGGACUCUCCUCUCAGCACUCUGCUGCUCCCCGAGACCCUUCCAGACCUUCCUGUGGGCUGUCCACGCCUCACUAGCCACGCCUGGCGGGCAGCAUGGGCCCAGCGCUUGGGGGGAUGAAAGAUGAAGGUUCGUGACCAUUUUUUAACUCAAUAAAGGGAGAGACAAGCGGCAGGCUGCAGGCUGGAGAUAUAAUUAGUUCGCAGCAGUGGCGCUUUCUUGAUUUAGCUUCUGCGAGAACAAGACAAGGAUGUUAUACCCAAUUAGCAGUAACAUCCAGUCGGAGCCUCAAUAGGUGAGAUAACAAGCUAUUUUUAUGACUUUUCUUUCCCAGCUUGGAGGGGGCGGGGGAAGGGGGCAUGAGGGCCUUAUUUCUUUUCAUCGGGGAACAAUUAUGAGCGAUCUCAGGAUUUCCCAAAUCCAAAUGAUGCAUUUGUUAACCCAAACAAGCAAGCCUCCCAGGGCAGCAGCGGCUGGGGUGGCCAGCGGGCAUUUUGAGCCCAGGGGGUGCGGCCCCUCGUCCACUUUCUGGGAGCCCCGGGAGAAGGCUGCCCGUGCGGAGGCCAUCAGCUUGGCUGGGGAGAUUCAGCUAUUCAGAGAUUCUUAGUGCCUGCCUUGAUGGCCCUACCUGCCUUCUAAGGGACGCAGGAGGCCGGGUGGACUCUUCUAGGGGUGAGGGAGGAGCCAGUUCUAGCCCUUGGCGCCCUUCCUGGUACUGCCCUCAAUCGCUUCUGCCAACUGGGCCAGAGGUUCUGGCUCUUCCACCCGGAACCUGCCAGGGCACUCUGCCUGGUGGGCCCCUUUCAUGGUGUGCGCUGCCUUCCCACCCUCCUGCCUGUCCUGGGUCCCAGAUCUCUUCCCUGGCAGGUCCCGAGUGUGAUUAGCCGUACUCUCUCCACGCUCAUUACCCCACAGCCGGGCACCCCGCGCCGGCCAAGUCCCCGCUGGGCAGGGAAGCCCUGCCAAGCCCCACCUCACUGCCUGGCUGUACCCGACUUGGGGCGAAGGCCAAGGGAUGCCCAGAGAGGGGAGCUGGCCCGGCUGCUGCCACACCCCACCAUGCCAGGACCCCAGCCUCCCCCGCCCCUCCCCAGCAGGUUGGUCCUGAGGAAUCUUGCGCCGCCUUGUCCUGUGCCGCCUUGUUCUGUGCCGCCUCUGUCACUGCGGAGCUCAUGGUUCAGAUAACUGACAAAUCCAGCCAUGCAGAGUGGGAGUUUAAUUGCAAACAGUUUUUAUGGAUCAUGGGCCCAUCUGUGCCACCAUAUGCAAGAGGAAAAAGUGCCCCCCUCUCCCCCCCCCCCAUCUCACUCUCAGACUAACUCCAAAAAAAUAUGGCAGCCUUUUCUGAGGGCUUCCAGAAGGCAGGAUAUUUUUUUCUGGCUGGAGCCAAGCACAGAGCAAGUGCCUUCCCAGAAGUGAGACCUUCUCUGGGCCUGGGCCUGGGCCGGGCUCAGCCUUUCCCAGCCACCUGGCUGAUGCUCUUCCCCUGGCCUCUGGUGGCCUCAGCCCGGGGAGCAACACUGGGUGGAAAUGUAUGAAUGACUGGGGUUGGAGGGGGCACUUCCCCUCCCAUUUCUAGCACAGGAAAUGGAACCCCAGGAGGAUGGGGCUCCCCAAGCCUCUGACUCCCUCCUUCUCAGUGGCACCUCUUAUCCUGGUGCUCAGCCUGACUCUGCAGACGGCCCCACCCGGGAUGGAAAGGCCAUCCGCAGGGGGCCCUCGGACAGCACUUCCCCCAGGGCCUGAGGGCUGGUCUUGGCAGAACUCCCUCUGAGGCUAUGGCGUGGGUUUAACCCCCCGCAGUGCCACAUGCCAGCCGGGUGACUUCAGACUAUUUCUUUCUUUCUCUCUCUCUGCCUCAGUUUCUCUCUCCGUCAAUCAGGGGUGAGAGUUGAUGGAUUGCUGCCCUCGGGGUGCGUUUGUAUCUAUCCUCUCCCCCCCCCACCGUGAGGCUGGGGUCCUUGUGAGUGAGGGUCCUUGCUUUGUUCCCUGGGACAGCCCAGGCCCCUGAUGAGGACGCUCGAUGGCUGUGGGAACACCUGAGGGAGUGAAUGAGCCAGGGAGGGGACACGGGCCUCGGCUGGCCAGCGAUUCAGGGAUUCUCCUGCCGUUCUCUCUGGAGUCUACCAUUCUCCCCGCGAGGAAGACCAAAGCUUGGGGACAGGAAGGGACUGUCUCAAGGUCAUGCAGCUGAAGAGAAGCCAGAGCUGGGACCGGAAGCCUGGUCGAAGGGACUUCCAGCUGGCCAGGUCCUGCCCUGCACAUGACAGGUGAGGAGGGUCAGGCUCAGAGUUGGGGAGGGACUCGGCCGAGGUCACACAAUAUGAAAACAGUAGCCAGGGUUCGUGAGGGUCCUUCCUGUCCCUGUCGUACAGAUGAGGAAACGAAGACCCUGUCUCCACAGAGCCAGGCCAGACUUGCCCCGCCUCUCUCCUUUCCCUGCCCCCUCCCCUGGGCCUGGGGGCUUCACCAUGAGCCUUAUAAACUGGCAGCUUGGGAGUGCGGCAGCCAGGCCCUGGGCAGGAGUCCGUGUUCCCCACUUGGGCACUGGGUACAGCCCACCCACAGCAGGUGGCAGGAGGCAGGAAAAGUGGGGCACGGGCUCUGUCCCCUGGCCCCGGAGGAGCCCAGGCCCGUUCCCCGCCCGGUGGUGAUCACCAGCUCCUGUUGUAAUCAUUAAAACUAUUAGAAGGAAACGUUCGCUUGAAGCAAGUGUCAGGCUCCGAGUUGUGCUUUGUAAACGCUCACAAUUAAUGCCAAUCAGGCCCGGAAAAAAGCCGGCCCGGAACCCUGUCUGUUUCGUCUCAUUUGUCAGCUGGUGCGCGCCAUGUUGCACAUUUUCAUACAAUUGCUAUAAACAUAAAAGGGAAACUCCACAGUGUUCCCGGGCGCCCGGAUGGUGCGCGCAGGCUUAAUGACUCGGUGUUCCGC